UUCACGCGUAUGAAGCGAUGUUCGUUCUGUGGUCUUGGCGCUUCGACUUAACGCGCGGCACCUCGUGCGCACGCGCAGUUCUUUUUAUCGUUAGUCCUACGUGUUCAUGCCGGCUCCCAGCGAAGCUGCGUCGAAAAUGAACCGUUUCUACAGGUCUCGGUCACGGUCUCCAGUGGACUAUGACAGGGACCGCGAUUCAAGCCGCAACCGCAGGAGGUCAGACUCUCGCCCUGAUAGACGGUCUCGGGCACCCUCUGACCGGCGUGUGUAUGUUGCCAAUGUGCCUUUUGAUUGCAAGUGGACCGACAUCAAGGACCUAUUUCGGGAUAAAGUUGGUGAUGUGUCCUACGUAGAGCUGUUUGAAGAUGAAAAUGGCAAGUUCCGGGGGUGUGGGAUUGUGGAACUCAAGGACAAAGCCUCUGUGCCCAAGGCAAUUGAGGUGCUUCACAGAUAUGAAAUGAAAGGCCGAUUCCUCGUUGUCAAGGAGGAUUUUGACGUGGAGCGUGACCGCUAUGGUCGCCCAAUUCCUCGGGGACGGUCAGGUGGUGAUCGCAUGAUGGACGACCGUGGCAGCCGCGAUGGCGAUCGAGAUGGCUAUGGCCGCGGUGGUGGCGGCGGCGGCGGCGGUGGCGUUGGUUUCAACACAUAUGGAUUGAGCCCUCAGUUCCUUGACUCUCUCGGUAUUGUGGGACCCCUCUCAAACAGAGUGUUUGUGGCCAAUCUGGACUACAAAGUGACUGCAAAGAAACUCCAAGAGGUGUUCAGGAUUGCAGGCCGCAUUUCAAACGUUGACCUCAGGACGGACAAGGAAGGCAACAGCAAGGGCCAUGGAAUUGUGGAAUUUGAGCACCCCAUUGAAGCUGUCCAAGCCAUCUCAAUGUUGAAUGGCCAGAAGUUGUUCAACCGAGCAAUGAGCGUCCGCAUGGACAAGUACAACGAAGAUCUCGACGGUGGGCUCCCAUCAAAGCUUCCCACUGGCCUUCAAGGCAUCGGCAAGGGACUUGGAGCUGGUGGCAACCCUCUUCAAAUGAGUGCUGCCCAGUUGGCCCAGAUGAACAUGACGGGCCCAGUGGGCGGUGGCAUGCCCAUGGGCGGUGGUGUGAACCCUGUAGCAGCUGCGGCUGGCAUGGGCCUGGGUGGCCUUGGCGGUAUGGGCCUGGGCGCUGCUGGUGGCCUCGGAGCUGCAGGAACUGGAGGCCUUGGUGCCGCAGGUGCUGGCCUGGGUGGCAUGGGAUCGGCUGGAGGCUUGGGUGGGCUCUCCGACCGCUCAAUGCUGGGCUCGGGCAACCUCAUGGGCGGUGGCAUGGCUUCGCCCACAGGGCUGAUGGGUGGCCUGUCGGGAGGCUUGGGUGGUGGAUCCUCGGCCUUGGGUGCUGGCAACGGUGGGGGUCUUGACUACGAUCGGCACCUUGGCGGUGGCGACGGGUACCGUAGUCCUCGCUCUUCAGAUGCCAUCAUGGUGCAGAAUCUUCCCAUGGGCUACAGCUGGCAGAACCUGCGUGAUCGUUUCCGGGAUGUUGCUCCUCGCAGCAAGCAGCCCAGUUCGAGGUCCUCCUUUGGUUUUUGAUGCAGGGAGCGUGCGGUACACCGACAUGAAGGGACGUGGUACCGCAAUUGUGCGCUUCAACUCCGAGCGGGAUGCCCAGCGAGCUGUUGACAUGAUGCACGGCAUCCGCAUCGAGAAUCGCCAGAUUGAUGUGCGCCUCUACUGAGCAUCGUGG
rnacentral:misc_RNA from 1 species